rnacentral:rRNA from 1 species
UACAGAGGUGGCAAGCGUUGUUCGGAAUUACUGGGCGUAAAGGGCGCGUAGGCGGCCUUCUAAGUCAGACGUGAAAUCCCCAGGCUUAACUUGGGAACUGCGUCUGAUACUGGAAGGCUUGAGUGCGGGAGAGGGAUGUGGAAUUCCAGGUGUAGCGGUGAAAUGCGUAGAUAUCUGGAGGAACACCGGUGGCGAAGGCGGCAUCCUGGACCGACACUGACGCUGAGGCGCGAAAGCUA